ensembl:lncRNA
UUUUCGGCUUGUUGAUGGCGUGUAUAUGACCGCCAACCACAUGCCCACACCACAUGCCUCAUCUGCAGGCGAUGGAACAGGCCUACGGAGACAUUGAGGUAAGGUCAAUCCAUGGAUGGAUUCGGCACACAAGGCGAGGAUCCAUAAGAACCACACACGCACAAUAGGCCUAUCUCACGAAAAUCGGAAAUGACGUCACACCGGGUAAACAUUCUUCCGGCGUAGUCAUUUUUGUAUUGCCGUCAAUGCAAAAAUGGAUCGUUUCUUCGCCACUUCCCUGGUGGGUAUUCCCAAAUUGCGAUUCGAAGAUGUGCAGAAGAUUGUGGAGACACACUCAGCAACACCACAGCCCAGGCUGACAAAGGGGUACAAGUUUUUUUGUGGAGGAGUUUGUACACAAUUAUCAAGAUCACCCUGGAGGCUGUUGGACAACUGGGUCUCUCAGAGCUGUAGCUGUGCUGCGGGCAAAGGCUUCUGUAGCCAUAUAACCGCUCUGUUCCAGACAGCGCAUUAUGUGCAGCUGGGCCUUGAUGUGGUUCCACCUUCCCUGGCCUGUACCAGUCAACCACAGAUGUGGCAUCGACCUCGAACUCAUGUGUGCUGUUGUGUCCUCUGUUCAAAUCAUACACUUCAGUAUUUGUCUAGAGUAUAUGCAUUUCCUGUAUUGUUGUUCGCCUCAGGGAAUCCAUCCAGAGGCUGUGAGUGACCUGGUGGUGAAGAAACCCAAGUCGGUGGGGAAGACUGGAGUCAAGUCCACACUCUACAGAGCGUAUGCUGGUAAGACAUUUGUUUUGCAAUUUGCACUCUGUUAAACUUGCUCAUUAUGAAAAGAUGCAUAUUAGAAUACAUCUGUUAUCACUACAAUAUAAAAAAAAAGUCACAUUUUUAUUUGACGUUUCGCCCUUUAAUGUCCCACAUCCUAGAGGGAAUAUCCAGCUUGGAGUUGGUACCAUCUCAGCUGUGCUGACCUGGAAGAUGUCAGCAAUGACCUGUUCUUUAAGGCCAGUUGCUACUCUACAACAGUAGAUGAAAACUCAUCAAUGACUGGAAUCUUCCUUGAAGGGCGUGGUGUUGGAAUCGCCUCUUGUCCAAUCCUCUGUGCUUUGCUCCAAUGAAGAAUAUAUUGUGUUGAGGGGCAAAACAGACUCCCAAAACACUUGAAACACUUCUUGAGAUGGAAACCGAGUAUAAUAUGUCAUGGUCUGAUCAGACACACAAAACCUGUUGAGGACAGUUUGUGGCCCCAUGGACAUUUCUUGCAGCCUUGCCUCCAGCUCAGCAAUAUACUCCAGGGCAUCAUCCAGUGCACCUACAAAAAAAGAAGACAAAUAAGUCUUCAUUACCAUUCAUUCGUAUUCACCCUUUAUUUUUAUUGUAUUGUUAUUCUGUAUACUUAAGUUUAUUUAUAUUUCUUAUUAUUAAAUUUAUUUGUACUGUUUUCUGUUUUUAUUUUUUAUGCAUUAACUAUAGGUUGAGUGUACAUAGAGUAAAAAACAAAGUCAUAUUCCUCGUUUGUUCGCAAACCUGGCCAAUAAAGCUGAAUCUGAAUUAAUAUGCAACCCCAGUUUAACAGUACGUCUGAUGUUGAUUGAAUGUUUUAACGUUAACCAUGCCAUGUUUGGCAAAAUUAUACAAUAGCCCAACAUGUGUUGAACACAAAUAACAGACAUAACAGCUAGUUAGCACACAUCUACUUACCGGCAGGGGGGCGUGUCGCGUAGUCAUGUUCCCCGGUACCUCUCCGGUCCGUUCGUGUUUUGUCCUCUCCUUCAGCUUUUCGAGCUGACACCCGUUUAUACACGGGUGUUUUUUUCGGGGCUGUGGUGUAGCUGUUCCAGUCAAAACGACUAGGAACAGCUCCAGUAUUCAGCGUAGCACUCCCGUCGUCAUAAUCAGCCGCUGAGAAAUGCCGACUACAGACCAGUGUACUCCCCUUCUGAAUUACGAAAUUAACUCCUUCAUUCCGUCUGAUCGCCACUGCUGUAUUGGGUAUUAUUUGGGAAGUCGUGGACAUGUAAAUACGGUUGUUUUUGUUUUGAAUUGGCGCAUAGAGGUACACAACAGAAGCUUUUGUUUUUUGACCGCGCCAUUGUCAAAUAUCAUGGACUACGCGACCGGAAGUCACUUUACCCGGUGAAGGCAAAAUCGAACGCCGAACCAGGAAGUUGUGAGAUAGGCCUAUUGCCGUGUUUUUAUAUGUUUGCAGUACAGUUGUGUAUUUUAGUUUUAGUUUUGCUUAACCUGAAUUUACUGCACUAUAAAGUACCUGCAAUGUACAGUAAUGAGUAUUAGUGAUUGUUGUGAAAACGUGCCUUCUGUGGAACUGAAUAAAAACAGUGAAUAUGGAA